rnacentral:rRNA from 1 species
UACGUAGGGGGCUAGCGUUGUCCGGAAUCAUUGGGCGUAAAGAGCGUGUAGGCGGCCCGGUAAGUCCGCUGUGAAAGUCGGGGGCUCAACCCUCGAAUGCCGGUGGAUACUGUCGGGCUCGAGUGCGGAAGAGGCGAGUGGAAUUCCUGGUGUAGCGGUGAAAUGCGCAGAUAUCAGGAGGAACACCGAUUGCGAAGGCAGCUCGCUGGGACGUUACUGACGCUGAGACGCGAAAGCGUGGGGAGCAAACAGG